GAGCGGGAGCCGCGGCCUGGCUCCCGAGGGUGGCCCGGCCGAGCCGGCGUUCCGGCAAGCAGUGAGUGGCAGCGGCCGCGGCGGUGCCGGGUCUGGCGGUGCCCAGGGCCAGCUGCAGCUCGUCCCGCGGCCCCGCGGGGGAUGGAGCAGCACCGGGGGGGCUGCUGGGGCCUGCGGUUUAAUCGCCGUUGUCUCAGCUCGUUCACCAGGGAGGAGGACUUGGCGGUGGCAACACGCUUCCUCUUCCCAGUCUGGGAGCUGUGGGAGCCUUUCUGCGAGGAUUCGGCACAGACUGACCCGGGUGACUUCACCCACCCGGCCAGGAGAGCACAGCCGUGGCUUUGCUGUCACAUAAACCUGUACAUGGGAUCAUUUACUCCGCUCCAGAUCGAGAUUACAGUGGCCAGACUGCUUGGUGGAGAUAAACUGGCUGGCGGGGUUCCCCAUCUCUAUGCCCUAAUCUUACCUGCUCAAAUGUAUUUUUGCCAAGCAAGGGUUAUUUCACUAAGUGAAGAGACCAUGUCAAGCAUAUUUCUGUAAGGUGAACGUGGUGUUGCCUUGUACAGUACAAAUCAGGACAUGAAUUGGGAGAAUAUUAAUAUUAUUAUUAUUAGAAUUCUAUUUACGCUAUUCUUCUAAUCUAAUAUCUUAUUUACAGUGGGAUUUUGAACAGUUCCAGCCCUCAACAAAAGCGAUUAGUAGAGGCACACCAAGGCAAACCACGGGUUUAGACAAAUAAACCAUACUCAGUGUCAACAUCUUUCAUGGUAGGACUGAGGCAGACAGGAUCUGCUGGCAGCUGUGCUGUGGUUUGUAAGUCAUCUCCCAGGCUAAGCAUGUUUCCUCUGCCAGGUAACCACCUCCAGCACAGGGAAGUGUGAGCGUCACAGCUUGGCUGCAUGUCAGGUUCAAUCUGACUGUUGAUGGCUCUUGGUCCUCUUUACCAACUGUUCCCUGGUGCCAGCAGUGAGCAAAGGAUUAGGGGCUUGGUUGCUGCUAGGACAGGUGAGGCUGGGCCAGAAGACUUCUGCAAACAGCUGCUCAGCUUUUUUGAUAAAGGAGGGCAGAGCUUGAUGCUGGAAAGGAGAGCUCCUGAAAUGCAGAGCUAAGCUAGUUCCCUGAGAAAUACUCCCAUUCAUCUCAGUGAGGUAUCACUGUUAAUAUGUUGGUAUAAUCUGUCAUCCAAUUUAGCAGUCACUGGUAAUAAAGAUUCAUAUUGCCUAUGUUAUCUGUUAAUCCAAAAGGAGCAAAGUUUGAGGACGCUGCUGAAGACCUACACACAGCUGCAUUUCAACAGCUGAAGUGCCAGCAGUAUCCCAAUAUCCUGCCUUUGUAUUGAGGUAGGGCUUGUGGUGAUGCAGCUGCCUUCCUGCUCAGUACCACACACCCAUCCUUGCAUUCCUCUGCAACUCCCCAGUAAUUUGCACUUUCAGGCUGUAGAAAUGUUCUGGAACAUGUGAUUUGUACACCAUGACUGGAAGGCUGGCUGCUUUGUGGUUCUGGCAAAAAACUGGGCUGACUCCUGUAAAAUGAGUGCACUGACACUGUCAAAGGUGCACACAGAGGUGUUAUCUUGUCUCCAUCUCCCCUCACUCCCUCUGCUCCUCUUUGACUCUUUCUUCUGCCUUCUCCCAAGUCACUGUCAUUUUCAUUUACUUCCCUGCUGCCUUGGACAUUUGAUCUAGACUCUACUCCCAAAUGUGUCACAGAGUUUUUUUCCUCACAGUUUUCAAAGCCUGUUUUUCCACCUUUGUUCUAUGGACACAGAUCUCGAACCAGUGUAACUUCCUGUUGCUGAAGCAUCAAAGAUAUACAAGUUCAAGAUACAGUAAAAAAAAAAAAAAAUCUGUUCAGACUUGUUUACUUUGAAUGAAAAUAAGAAUGUUCAUAUCAUGAAGCUUGACUGAGUGGAACCAGGUUAAGGACACCCCAACCAUCAUGACAGUGGUGAUGAAACGAAGAUUUUUCCUACUGGAAGUCAGUGUCUAUUAAGGAGAACACUAAAUUACUCAGCACAGUCUUUUUGAGCAUAGUGUGAAGGAGAGGCAUCGCUUCUGGAAAUGCAUGUCAAUGGUCUUGUGAAAUGAACGUCUCUCCCUCCCUCAGCCUUCCCCCAAUCUAAUUAAUAAGAUCAUCCCACUGAAGGCAGACUUAUAAAUAGCUUUCCAAACACUAAUGGAAUUAGUUCUGGCCUCGACAACUUUUCCAGGGUGACACAGGUGUCGAAGAAGGGCUUGUUCCUUGGCAUAGACAGCCACUUACAGCAGGAAAUGUGGAAAUG